rnacentral:rRNA from 1 species
UACAGAGGGGGCAAGCGUUAUUCGGAAUUAUUGGGCGUAAAGGGCGCGUAGGCGGCCUGUCAAGUGGAUGGUGAAAUCCCUCGGCUUAACCGAGGAACUGCCAUCCAGACUGCUUGGCUUGAGACCGGGAGAGGUGAGUGGAAUUCCCAGUGUAGCGGUGAAAUACGUAGAUAUUGGGAGGAACACCAGUGGCGAAGGCGGCUCACUGGACCGGUACUGACGCUGAGGCGCGAAAGCGUGGGGAGCAAACGGG